GAACCGAAACCUGGCCGUUGGCUGAGCGAGCGCGGGGUGUUUGGGAUGCGGCACGGCGAGGGGGAGCAGGCUUGGCUCGGGCGUAGGGAAUUGGUUUUUUUGUUUUAGCUAUCCAGGUUGUGACUGGUUUACAUAAUUACACGAUUAAGCCAUCAUUGUAGGAAAGGCUUUGCAGGAGAAAAAUGUCUUAACUGGAGGUCUUUGAGACAGAAAAACCCUGCCUCAGCCCUUGGGUCCUGAGAGUCGCGUUUCUUCUCCCCUUCGCUUAAAUAUGUAAACCAGAAUCAUUAUGUUUGGUUCAUGGAACGGAGGAAAAAAAUCCGUGUGCAGGGUCGAGACUGUCGUGGCGGAAGCCGCAGCACCCGGGAGGCAGGUGGGGAGAAAAAACGGGACCUGCUGCCGGGGACCCCUCCCGCUUUCUGGCAGUUUUCUAUUCAGCGUCCUCGGCUGUGAGAAAACAUCCCAGAUGCUGAAACCAAUAGUCUUAGCCCAGAAUCUCAAACGCCGUGGCAAAGAGGGAGUGACGACGGCCUGUGGAAAAACCUGAGGAGUUUUGGGCUUAGCGCCUUCAUGUAGAGGGGACGUGGAGGCGGGGAGGGCGUUCUAGGGUCGGCUGCGUAAUUAUACGAGGCACUGGAAAGUGAUGGGUUAGUGUCCUUGGAGUAGACCCCUGGGUUUUAUUGAACUGAUCUGAAAGGCUGGGCCCUGAGCCACACAGGGGACCUGUCAAACAGCUUCAAGCGGAAGAUGGGGCUCACGGGACUGGACUCUCUCUGCAGCCAGCUGAAAAGGAAACCUGGACACAGGCACGUAUGAGGGAAGACAAUGUGGAGAGGCAAGGAGAAGAUGGCCACCUGCAAGCCAAGGAGAGAGGCCUGGAACACACUCUUACUUCAUGGCCCUCAGAAGGAGGCCACCCUGUCAACACCUUGAGCUCAGACUUCAGCCUCCAGAGCUGUGAAAAAAGAAAUUUUUGUUGUUUAAGCCCCUCAGUUUGGGGUAAUUUCUUAUGGUGGCCCUAGCCAAUGAAUACAGGUCCCAAAUAACUCUUCAGUUUGGCCAUAUUUCCCUUACCUCUAGGGACUAAUUUCUAAGUGCCAGUUGUUUUCUUGACACCAACCAUUCAAGGUGGGUGAAGAGGGUCUGACAGGGCAGGACACCUAAUGGGAGUUACCCAGCUGUUGAGGGGGACGCAGGUCUGCUGGUCAAAUCAUCUGUCCUCUAUGAACUCAAUUUCUUCCAUGGGAGAAAGAGAAAUGCAACUCCUCACAGUCAAGAGUUGGCCUGUCACUAGGCUGCGGUCGUGUCUUGUUGAACAUAAACAACUUCACAGAAUGUUCUCAUGAAACAAGGCCACUCACAAAUUUAUACCUGCUUCCUGACAGCACCCAAUCCACAACAAAUGCCUGCUUCUCGGAACCCCCACACCCUGGCCCAUAUAAUGACCUAACACAAACCCGAAUCCUACAACCAGUCCUUCUAGUGCUUUCUCAGGGAGACGUGCUUCCCAUAGCAUGCUGGCUCCCUUGAGGCAGUGAGCCAAUGAACCCUAACUCUGUUCGUAGUUGUCUUUGAGACAUUAACAAGAGUUUUGACUUUAUUUUACAUAUACAUCAGUCAAUGGGGUACCCUCGCCCCCCACACUUCAGCCAGGACAAUUUAUACGGUUUAAUACACCUCUUACAACAUUGACUCUUAUUUUCAUUAUCAUUACAUGAACAGUUACUAACUUAUUAACCUUGAAUUUUUUAUCUCUUCAUUUAAUUUGGAAUUUCUUAAUAUAGAAUGUGGUAGGGGAGAGGAGGGCUCCCUUUCAAAACAGCAACAGUGGCCGGGUACAGUAGCUCACGCCUAUAAUUCCAUCACUUUGGGAGGCUGAGGGGAGACGAUCACUCGAGCUCAGGAUCUCACUGUCGAGGUUAUAGUGAGCUAUGAACACACCACUGCACUCCAGCCUGGGUGUCAGAGUGAGACCUUGUCUCUAAAAAAAAAAAAAGAAAAAAAAAUAGCUAUAAGUUAUGAUAAGAGUUGUUUAAGGGUAAAGUUUAACUGUAUAGUGAGUUUAUUUAGCUGCUUAUGCGAGUGGAAUGAAUGCGAUCCUCCCACCUACGAAUAGGUCAAGAAUGUGCUUAACGCCUUAUUCCCAAGGUAAUGCUGGUAUGGGUUGGUUUAAACGGCAUUCUGGAUGCCCUUUAGGGUUUUCUGUGAAAUCCUAAUGAACGAGCCAUUUUUGUGUAACCCAUUUUUAUCAGGCCCCAUCAACCCAAGUGCUGCAAAACUAGGCUCAUGGUCCCAUCUGGGAAAAAAUUAUACUCCCAAAUGUUGCCGCUGGGAUUGACAAUUGCUACAGCUGUUUUGGAAAGUAAUGUCCGUAUCUAUCUACAAAACCAAACAAAAACAAACUCAGCCAGCCCUCUCCCAGGGACAGAAUCCAAGCAAUGAAGCUCAAUGGCAGGCGAGGGGUGUGCAAAGGGUGUUCUGCCACCCCCGGGCAGUGACUCCAUGUGGGAAACAAAGCGUGCGCUCAAACAAGCAGGCAGCAGUGAAGUUCUGAAACACUCUUACCCCAAAAUAUUUUACACAUUAAAAAAUUGAGUCUGGUUUACAGCAAUGACUUGGAAGCACUUCUCCUCUGUUCAAUUACAUGUGAAAAGCAAGAGGCGGAAGUGAAAAAAUAAUCCCAACACUGUAAAAACAAAGGUCAAAAAUUCACAUUUCCAUGUGAUUAGGAGGAAGAUAAGAAAGAUUAUUAUUAUUAUUUUAACACUGGUUGGUUUGCUUGGGAGAAGGCAGAGGUGGGUAAAGGAGGAAGUAUGAAAAACAGGGCGGAGUAAACAUUUUAAUAGUUAUUAAACUUUUUGAGCAAAUGCAGAAUUAGAAGCAAGAGGAAGAGGAAAAGUGGGAGUGGGGUGGAGAAGAACUCAGCAAUAAAGGUCUCCAAGCAAAAGAGAAAACCUCCAGGUAGCACCUUGGCAGCAGGGAACACAGAAAAUAAUCCUACCUAAACUAUUCCUUCAGACUCACUACUAAGAGCACCACUUCCUUAGGAAAAAUCAGAGAUAUGCUAUCAGAACCCACUCCCUGUGCAUCCUUUGUGUUUAACUGUAUACAAAUUUGUAGGGCAGCCUACAUAACCAAGAAAGAUCAGUCAGGAGAGAGUAUUUCCCUAGUUCUAUCCCGAUGACAAGUUUAGAAACCUUACUUCCUUCAAUGUUUCCCCUUCCCAACAGUACCCGGGAAUCCCUAAGCCAGGAGAAUGGCCGCAUAGUGGAAGGAACUCUUCAGACCCUGCUACAUCCCAUUCUCUGCCUUCCAACACCCCCCCCGAUAAGUCUGGGCCCAUUGAUCCCCCUGACAGAGCAGGAACACUGUCAUCUUGGACAAACACCACCGCUUUAAGUUCUAGCUCCCUUUCUAGCCUCAUGCAUCUCAAGGGAAUCACUUCUCUUCUAACUACAAGCAGCCAGAAAGAGCAGACGGUAAAACACAGAUAAAACAGCUCGGGCACAGAGGGAGGUGGGGGGAAAUUCUCUUGGGUAACUGCCAAACUUCACUGUCAUACAAUGGGCCCCAGUAAAACAGUAGGCCUUAAUAAGCACAUUCCUUUCCCUUCAAGUCCACUAAGAUAGGGAAGCUAAAAGCAGACUCGGGGGUCUGCCUGCAGUUGCAGAAAGGUCUAUGAAAACACACAACUCUCCCUCCCAAACAAGCACAACAAAGAGACACAAAAACAGUCCAAGCCUCUAGUAAACUCUCCCACCCUGAAUCCUUAAAAACUCUUAGCCUGUAAGAAAGUGGGGCUCUAACCUAACUUGGCCAAAACCCCCUCCUAGGUUUGUUUUCUAAAAUAAACCUGUCCUUGUUAACCAUCAAGCCACCCUUCGUGUUUCUUUCCUCUUUCUUUAAUUAUCACACCUCCCACAUCUGUGUGUUUAGUCACCACAGGAAACACUUGGUGCAGAGAGAAAUGGAAGAGAAGAUCCAAGUCAAGGAAGCAGCCAAGGGGCCAGGGCUUCAUGGAGGAAAGAGCAAAUCUUGAAUUGUUCAGGAUAGGGGAUGGAACCAGGAAGCAGCAAUGGGGUGGGAACUAAACUGACAUAGGAGCAUUUGGGGAGCAAGUCAAGAAGGCUCUGUUGAGUGAUGUCAUUGACAGAGUCGGGCUGGCAGCUCAGUGGUGUGCUGGCCAGAGAGGGGGUAUGUUAAGCCAGCUAAAAGGAGCAAGGCUGACCCGGACAAACUCAUAUUUUAAACCCGACCUGAGUGGUCCUGGCAUGCGAUUUCCAAAGUGUCUCUGCUCUUGGAGUGAACCACCCUCAUUCUUUAUCUGAACUGGACCCCACUUGCAGAGUCAAGUCACUCUUCUCCCAGUGGUGCCAGAUUCAGAACUGGACUCCUGCUUUGGUCUCCACUUGCUGUUUCUAUAUUGCAUCCUUUCUCAUUCCCAGGUCUUUCUCCAAAGCAUGGAACCCUUU
rnacentral:lncRNA from 1 species